ensembl:lncRNA LINC01341 long intergenic non-protein coding RNA 1341
AUACCAUGUCACAGGAGACCCUCAGACCGCAGCCUUCCAGAAGCCUCCAUCUACACACCAUGUCACAAGAGACCCUCAGACUACAGCCUUCCAGAAGCCUCCAUCUACAUACCAUGUCACAGGAGACUCUCAGGCUGCAGCCUCCCAGAAGCCUCCUGAGGAAAGCAGGGCUUCAUCUGAAGACAGAGACGGGGUUUCACCAUGUUGCCCAAGCUGGUCUCAAACUCCUGAGCUCAAGCCAUCCACCCACCUCGGCCUCCCCAAAUCCUGGGAUUACAGAUGCGAACUACCGUGCUGGGCCUAAUCUUACUGUUUUAAUGUAAAAAUGGACAGUCUUGAGGAAGACAGAUUGCAGAGAGACACAGUGUGAAAUCGCUGCUCUCAGAUCAGCACACGGGAGAGGCCAGCAGUCAGGAGGGGGCUCACCGAGUUUGUCUGCACUCGCUCCCUCCGCAGCCGCCCUCUCCAGCUGGAAGAAGUCGUAAUCGAACCUGCUCAGGUCCUCACUGCCCCACUCCGAAGGAAACCCCACGUACAGGUGAGGUCAGAGGAGUGAAGUGACUUGCCCAAGACCACACAGUGAGUCAGGAGCAGGCCUGUCCCUCCAGCAGUGGUGCCAUGUUGUCCCCAAGCCAUGGUGGCAGAGGAGCUGGUGUGAACGCCCCAUCCUGCCACGUCUGUGAUGUGGGCACCUCACAUGACUGUCCCCUCCCAGCUCUUGGGGGGGACCUAGGACAUUCUGUGAGCCUGCAGGAAAGUUUACCAAAUGCUGCAGCUUUGUCCUGGUGGUGAUGGGCACCCCGUUAACGGCAACCUUGCAUUUGCUAUGUGGAGUGACCGUCACUUUACCGUCGGCAUUUGUGAAGGAAGCGUGUUUAUCUGAAAUUCUAAGAAGAUGAGAGUCAAAGACACCCAGCAAACGGCGGUUUCCGUGAGCAGGGUUGGAGCCCAGGAAGCAAACCAGCACUGCACCCUAGAUUUCAGCCAGAGGACGAAAGCCCUGCCCUCAGCUUUCUCAGACCAGCCCUGGAGUAGGUGGCCCGGGGAGACCUGGGCAGUGUCCCUGCUUGUCCUGCAGACUGUGUGGCUCUGCAGACCUCUAGAUGGAGGAGGCACAAUUCUCUAAUGCUGGACGAGGACACUGAUCAUGGAAACUCACCCCAAACCUUGAAUCGUGAUAGCAUUUGAGGCAGCCUGACCGGUGCCACAUGAACCUGAAAGGAAUCAAGAUAUAAUUUAUUUUGAAAAUAAAUCAGACACUUUCAGAA